UACGUAGGGGCUAGCGUUAUCCGGAAUUACUGGGCGUAAAGGGUGCGUAGGUGGUUUCUUAAGUCAGAGGUGAAAGGCUACGGCUCAACCGUAGUAAGCCUUUGAAACUGAGAAACUUGAGUGCAGGAGAGGAGAGUAGAAUUCCUAGUGUAGCGAUGAAAUGCGUAGAUAUUAGGAGGAAUACCAGUUGCGAAGGCGGCUCUCUGGACUGUAACUGACACUGAGGCACGAAAGCGUGGGGAGCAAACAGGAUUAGAUACCCCUGUAGUCCCUGA
rnacentral:rRNA from 1 species